UAAUACUGGGGAGAGGGGGAGAGAGGUGGAGGGGGGGUGGAAAAGGGUGAGAAAGUGGGAGGUGGAGCCGGGAGCGAGAGAGAGGUGGAGCCGGGAGCGAGAGAGAGGUGGAGCCGGGAGCGAGAGAGAGGUGGAGCCGGGAGCAAGAGAGAGGUGGAGCGGGGAGCGAGAGAGAGGUGGAGCCGGGAGCGAGAGAGAGGUGGAGCGGGAAGCGAGAGAGGUGGAGCGGGGAGCGAGAGAGGUGGAGCGGGGAAUGAGAGAGAGGUGGAGCGGGUAGCGAGAGAGAGGUGGAGCGGGAGGCGAGAGAGAGGUGGAGUGGGGAGCGAGAGAGAGGUGGAGUGGGGAGCGAGAGAGAGGUGGAGCGGGGAGCGAGAGAGAGGUGGAGAGGGGAGCGAGAGAGAGGUGGAGAGGGGAGUGAGAGAGAGGUGGAGUGGGGAGUGAGAGAGAGGUGGAGUGGGGAGUGAGAGAGGUGGAGCGGGGAGUGAGAGAGAGGUGGAGCGGGGAGUGAGAGAGAGGUGGAGCGGGGAGCGAGAGAGAGGUGGAGUGGGGAGCGAGAGAGAGGUGGAGCGGGGAGCGAGAGAGGUGGAGCGGGGAGCGAGAGAGAGGUGGAGCGGGGAGUGAGAGAGAGGUGGAGCGGGGAGUGAGA